rnacentral:rRNA from 1 species
GACGAACGCUGGCGGCGUGCUUAACACAUGCAAGUCGAACGGAAAGGCCCUGCUUUUGUGGGGUGCUCGAGUGGCGAACGGGUGAGUAACACGUGAGUAACCUGCCCUUGACUUUGGGAUAACUUCAGGAAACUGGGGCUAAUACCGGCUAGGAGCUCCUGCUGCAUGGUGGGGGUUGGAAAGUUUCGGCGGUUGGGGAUGGACUCGCGGCUUAUCAGCUUGUUGGUGGGGUAGUGGCUUACCAAGGCUUUGACGGGUAGCCGGCCUGAGAGGGUGACCGGCCACAUUGGGACUGAGAUACGGCCCAGACUCCUACGGGAGGCAGCAGUGGGGAAUAUUGCAAAAUGGGCGGAAGCCUGAUGCAGCAACGCCGCGUGCGGGAUGACGGCCUUCGGGUUGUAAACCGCUUUCGCCAGUGACGAAGCGUGAGUGACGGUAAUGGGUAAAGAAGCACCGGCUAACUACGUG